GUGAAUCAUCAAAUUUUUGAACGCAAAUUGCACUCUCUUCGGAGAGUAUGCCUGUUUGAGGGUCAGCCUAAAAAAAAAUCGACAUAGACGCUGGUUCGCGGAGACAAUCGGCGGAAAUUGGGUCAUCUUAAAACUGUGGGUUUUAAGCGGCGGAAAAUUUUAUUGACGAUUCCAAGAAAGGUUUUGA
rnacentral:misc_RNA from 1 species